rnacentral:lncRNA from 1 species
AAAGAUUCAAACAUACCAAACACACAAAUCAUUUAUGAUUACAUAAAAUUAAAGAGAGAGAAGAUAAAAUUGGAUCUCAAAAGCUUUCCAUUGACUUUAGAAGAGAAAAUAAGUUGGCUUGAAACCUCAAAGAAUACCAACAAUAUCGACUCCCCAAAUCAUUUAUGAACUUAUCACUGCGAUAAACCCAAAAUUUGAUUCAAAUUGAAAUCCACGAAGAACAAGAGACAAGCACCCAGUCACCCAAAAAAUCGAAACCCGUACACAAAAUCUCACCUAAUUCGACCCAAAUCUUGCCGGAACCAAACCAAAAGGAUCAAUAUAACACUGAUAUAACCCAUUAAAAUAAAUGAGAAUAAUCUUUAGAAUUUUUGCCCAUUAAACAGUAUGUUUUGCUGAAACAGAGUAAUAGGCGCCCGACUCAAUUGUUUUUCUAGCAAAACUCAUCAGAAAAUUGAUCAGCGGACAUGAAUCAACGGUGGAACUUGGUGUUGUUGGUGGUUUCGAGGUUCAGACACCAACCAAUAGCCCUUUUUUUGUGGUUUUGAAUGGAUUUUGUGAUGUUUUGAUGCAUUUUCGGUGAAGACGUUGCUGGAAUAGUAACAUGAACUUAUCUUUCUCCCUCAACCCCAUCUACCCCUUUUCUCUCUUGGUUACCCUCUUUCUCUCUUUGUUAAUCUCUCUUUGUUGCUCUGAAGGAGAAAAGAAAACCCCCUCAUCUUUACUGUGAAGUGUGUGGAGAGUCUUUAUUGUAGUAUGUGAGAGGUCUCAAUUGUGAAUGAUGCUGAUGGGGUCCC